rnacentral:rRNA from 1 species
AGAGAGAGACAUGCGCGCAUAUCAAUAAGCGGAGGAAAAGAAACUAACAAGGAUUCCCCUAGUAACGGCGAGUGAAGCGGGAAGAGCUCAAAUUUGAAAUCUUAAAGGGUUUCCCUUUACGAAUUGUAGUUUAAAGAAGUGUUUUCUGUUGAGGUUUUGGUAAAAGUUCUUUGGAAUAGGACAUCAUAGAGGGUGAGAAUCCCGUAUUUGACCUUUACUUUCAACUUUGUGAUACACUUUCAAAGAGUCGGAUUGUUUGGGAAUGCAGUCCAAAAUGGGUGGUAAAUUUCAUCUAAAGCUAAAUAUUGGCGAGAGACCGAUAGCGAACAAGUACCGUGAGGGAAAGAUGAAAAGAACUUUGAAAAGAGAGUUAAACAGUACGUGAAAUUGUCAAAAGGGAAGCGUUUGACACCAGUGUUGUUUUUCUGAAAAUCAAUUAAAGAACUGUUUAUGCUAAGUUGUUUAGACUUUAUCAGCUAACUGUUUAGUUUUGAGCUUUUCUUUAAUGCACUUUUCAGUUAACAAGUCAACAUCAAUUUCUUUUGCUGUAAAAAAGCUUGAGGAGGGUGGCUUGAGAUUCGUCUUAAGUGUUUAUAGCCUCUUGCCUAUGCAGUCGGAGAGAUUGAGGUCUGCAGCGUAGAUCCUUCGGGGCUAAAUGCAUUUGUGCUAAGUUAUAGCAUUUUAUAGACAACUUGUUGACUAUGAUUUGUCUUGUAGCUUACUCGCUUAUGUUAUUUUACCUACGCUUAGGAUGUUGACGCAUGAGAUAUACGC